rnacentral:rRNA from 1 species
UGAGGAAUAUUGCGCAAUGGGCGAAAGCCUGAAGGAGCGACGCCGCGUGGGGGGUGAAGGGUUUCGAUCCGUAAACCCCUGUCAUUUGCGAACAAACCUUCCGGUUUAACUGGCCGGGAGCUGAUUGUAGCGAAAGAGGAAGGGACGGCUAACUCUGUG